GAGAAGACAAGAGACGAGAAGAGAAGAGAAGAGAAGAGAAGAGAAGCCUAUGCUUCCAGGUGAGGUCUUUAUUAUACUAUCAUCUUGCCUCAUUCACAGAAUUUUAGCAAGGAGGUGUGAGUUCCAUAUAUCAUCACCUUUCGGUCAUAACCUUUCCAUGUUUUCUUCUGCUUCUUCCAUCUUUUUUUAAACAAGAGAAAAUCUGUGAAGGAGAAAAGGUGGAACAGUUGCACAAAGCCUUCUGAUUGGUGGUAGUAGGAGCCACCUGCUUAAAACGCCAGCACAGUACCUUUUCUUAGCUUGGCCACAGAAUGUGAAAAGCCACUGAGCUUAGAGCCCUCAGCCUUCAUAGCCUUGUCACCCCCUGCAAGGUAUGUUUAGCUCAUUGGUCCAAGAGGGCAGAUUACCAAGAUCUGCAACCCCACGAAUGUGGCUAUGCACACGCAGGGGAUGUCCACUCAGGCCCCUCUUAUGCUAACCAACAGGCUCCCAUUGUGGCCUGUUCAGUGUGACCCCACUGAAAUGGAUGCAGCCAGAAUGCAGCAAUGGGUGCUUUGCAGAGUACGGAGAUCUGAGUAUAUAAGGCAGCAAGACGGCACAAGCUAAAGAGAGAAGCUGGCAAGGUAAGUUUGGCUCCAGAGGAGGGGAAAAGCUGGAAGUGGGUAAGGAGUCUUAAGUAGUGUGCCAUUCAGAUGCUAGUUGCUCAGUUGUUGCUUCUUCAUGUGGCUUUUCCCAGAACUGAAGACAUACUAGGCAAGGUGCUAACAUGAUGCUUUCAAAUGUAAAAUACAGAUACACAGUGCCUCAUGGCUCAACUUCUCAGCAACACUGCCAUAUUUCACUUUUGUGUUUUAGCUAAUAAGGCACCUGUGUGAUUUGCUUAAGUCUUUAGGCAGAUCUAGGUAGCUGCAGGGCUGCAUCUGUUAAAAAAUGGGGCAAUCAGCAAUUCUUGGCUUCUUUGUCUCAAAAGUGGAAUUUGAAACCUGCACAGCAUCUACUGGAGCCUGGUCCAGUAAUGAUUGUAGUCAUCCUUGUAAACACACUUUUGCUGUUUUGUAUGUGAAGAACCAAGCCCUCCUAUAGAAGUGAUUGUUUAAAGAAAUAUUAUAUAUUCAAUUGUAAAAAGAUCUUUUACUGUACUGCAUGGAGCUCUAUUUUUCUCAAAGUUAUCCUAGUUAUUGAACGUAACCUGUCUCAUCCAGUUCCUGGGUCAUCAACAGAUACACAACAUGUCUUAAAGAGACACUGCACUAUUCCUACAACACUUACUUGGACACUCGUCCUAUUCUGACGAGGACAUCCUUCUGAUGAGACAUAAAUAGGACAGCUCUGUUAAGGUUGCUGUCUACUCCUACUGUGACAAUGCAGACUUUGUAUUUUCAACAUCAAGUCCGUUCUUAUUUCCUCUUCCCUCUUUGACUAACAUCCAGCCUGAGAUAGAACUUGUAGAAUUCAAAAACUUGCUCAACAUUUUGUGACAUUUUGGCUGAGUCCCAAUACUUAAAGUCCCAUGUUAUGGAUUUUGGCUGGCUUAUGCAGAAGUGCCACUAAAUUGGAUGGGAGUUGCUCUUCAGUAGGUAGGCUUAGGAGAGUCGGUAGGCAUACCACAUUGCAGCUGUCAGUCUGCUGUGGAAGUGCAUUCAUGCUAUACCCAACAUAUGCACAGCCUUCUUUUGAACAUGGCAUUCACAAGGGACCUGUUUGGCUGGUCCUUAUGUCAAUUAUGAAGCAGCUUCCAACACCCUUCCUGGAGCCGAACAGAGCACAGUGCUGGUUGGCUGCCCCUUGCUUGAGUCACAAAGCAGCUCCUCUCCACCCAAGGCUGGCUCACAUGAUCACAGCGACUGAAAUAAGUCAUGUGGUUGCCACCACAUAAACCUGUAGAUGCUGGCCAGAUUUCCCUAAAUACCCACACUGGGGCAACUUGUCAUGUCAUUCAAAGCCAAGUGGCAUGGAUUGUUUGGAGUCAGCAGCAACUCUUAAAUAACUUAUGCGUUGUGGUUGAGUUAUUUCUACUAGUUCCCCUUUACUCAGCACUGGUUAGGCCUCAUCUGGAGUACUGUGUCUGGUCUUGGGCACCACAGUUUAAGAAAGAUGCAGACAAGCUGGAAAG